rnacentral:rRNA from 1 species
CCAAAAAUUAGUCCCAGUUCAGAUUGCAGGCUGCAACUCGCCUGCAUGAAGUCGGAAUUGCUAGUAAUCGUGGAUCAGCAUGCCACGGUGAAUACGUUCCCGGGCCUCGUACACACCGCCCGUCACACCAUGGGAGUCGGUAACACCCGAAGCCUGUAGUCUAACCGCAAGGAGGACGCAGUCGAAGGUGGGAUUGAUGACUGGGGUGAAGUCGUAACAAGGUAUC